UACAGAGGGGGCAAGCGUUGUUCGGAAUUACUGGGCGUAAAGCGCACGUAGGCGGCUUUGUAAGUAAGAGGUGAAAGCCCAGAGCUCAACUCUGGAAUUGCCUUUUAGACUGCAUCGCUUGAAUCAUGGAGAGGUCAGUGGAAUUCCGAGUGUAGAGGUGAAAUUCGUAGAUAUUCGGAAGAACACCAGUGGCGAAGGCGGCUGACUGGCCCGGUACUGACGCUGAGGUGCGAAAGCGUGGGGAGCAAACAGG
rnacentral:rRNA from 1 species